UGGUGCAUGGUUGUCGUCAGCUCGUGUCGUGAGAUGUGGUUAAGUCCCGCAACGAGCGCAACCCCUAUUGUUAGUUGCCAUCAUUCAGUUGGGCACUCUAGCGAGACUGCCGGUAAUAAACCGGAGGAAGGUGGGGAUGACGUCAAAUCAUCAUGCCCCUUAUGACCUGGGCUACACACGUGCUACAAUGGUUGGUACAACGAGUUGCGAGUCGGUGACGGCGAGCUAAUCUCUUAAAGCCAAUCUCAGUUCGGAUUGUAGGCUGCAACUCGCCUACAUGAAGUCGGAAUCGCUAGUAAUCGCGGAUCAGCACGCCGCGGUGAAUACGUUCCCGGGCCUU
rnacentral:rRNA from 1 species